CUAGGUAGUAUCUUGUAGGUACGGUCUAGGUAGUAUCUUGUAGGCAUGGUCUAGGUAGUAUCUUGUAGGUACGGUCUAGGUAGUAUCUUGUAGGUACAGUCUAGGUAGUAUCUUGUAGGUACGGUCUAGGUAGUAUCAUGUAGGUACGGUCUAGGUAGUAUCUUGUAGGUACAGUCUAGGUAGUAUCUUGUAGGUACUGUCUAGGUAGUAUCUUGUAGGUACGGUCUAGGUAGUAUCUUGUAGGCACGGUCUAGGUAAUAUCUUGUAGGUACGGUCUAGGUAGUAUCUUGUAGGUACGGUCUAGGUAGUAUCUUGUAGGUACGGUCUAGGUAGUAUCUUGUAGGCACAGUCUAGGUAGUAUCUUGUAGGUACAGUCUAGGUAGUAUCUUGUAGGUACUGUCUAGGUAGUAUCUUGUAGGUACAGUCUAGGUAGUAUCUUGUAGGUACAGUCUAGGUAUUGUCUUGUAGGUACAGUCUAGGUAGUAUCUUGUAGGCACGGUCUAGGUAAUAUCUUGUAGGUACGGUCUAGGUAGUAUCUUGUAGGUACUGUCUAGUUAGUUAUGCAAUGCUUUAUUUAUUUUGCAACUGUAAUGUUGUGGAUAUAUGUGUUGACAAAUUGAAAGGGAAUAAAUAUUUUUCUGCAAA